rnacentral:lncRNA from 1 species
CUCUGUUGGGCCCACAAGAAACUCAUUACACAGGAGCACAAUGUGCAAUGGACCUCAGGGGCCCAUCUGUGAAUAGUCACUGGAUCCAUUUUUAAAUUAUCCCUUCCACCAUUCCAUAUUUAAUGACUAUAUGUACUAAGAACAGACAGUGUAGAAAUGCAAGCGCCGUGCCUGACUAUUGUUCUGGUUAUUCUCCCAUAGAAUCAUGGGAAUCUUCAUCGCCCUGAGUUUGUUCCUCUCCAUUCUGGUCACCGUCACCCUCCUCCUCUCAUACUGGAAGCAGACGAAGAUGGCAAACCAGCUACCCCCAGGACCACCUCCACUGCCCCUGCUGGGAAAUCCCAGUUAUGUGACCAAGGAGGGAGCUUGUAAAUAUUAUCCUGAGGUAGGUACUACUGACUGUAAAUACUGCACUGGGGUAGGUACUACUG